rnacentral:rRNA from 1 species
UACGAAGGGGGCUAGCGUUGUUCGGAAUUACUGGGCGUAAAGCGCACGUAGGCGGACUAUUAAGUCAGGGGUGAAAUCCCGGGGCUCAACCCCGGAACUGCCUUUGAUACUGGUAGUCUCGAGUCCGGAAGAGGUGAGUGGAAUUCCGAGUGUAGAGGUGAAAUUCGUAGAUAUUCGGAGGAACACCGGUGGCGAAGGCGGCCACCUGGUCCGGUACUGACGCUCAAGCGCGAAAGCGUGGGGAGCAAACAGG